CAUGCAGCUCGGUUAGCUUCAGACAAAAGUACAGCAAACCUGCAGAAUUAUGAUCAUCCUAGUCAGUCCCAGCAUCCCCAGCAAUGUCUCAUGCAUUCAUGCCAUGGACGACCAGCAGGAGGCCACCAGUGCAGCCCAUCUUGUACCUUCUCUCCCUCAAGAGAAAAGAGAAUGCAGCCCGUAGGACCUUCCUUCCUCCCAAGUGCGGUGCUUUUAGGGACAGAUGUAUUUAUACCAUGGAAGAAAUUAUGAGUCCAGAUAGAAGAGCCUGAAUGCAAGAAGACCUCACCAUAUGCUGGCAAAUUGACCUUGGACUUCGUGGCCUACAGAAUUGAAUCGAACUCACGACCUUGCACUUGCCAGGCAGGCGCUGUGCGACUGAGCUAAAUCCCCAGCCCCUGAAAGAAUUAAUUCUUUGAGUAUCGAUUUAAUUUUGCAAAUGGCCAAAUAUUGCUGAGAGUCAAAUAUGCACUGAUGCAGACAGCUGACUUGCUGUAAGGUGCUCUGGACAAAGGCCUCCAGCCAACAGCCCUGGAAGACUUGAGCCUGAGUCCAUCAACCAAAGGAGAAAAGAAUUCUGCCAACAAACACGUGAAUGAGCUGGGAAGUUUAUUCUUCCUGGUCAAGCUCAAGAGCCACAUGAGAGACCCAGCUCUAGGUAGGGCAACUAAAUUGUACCCAGACUUCUGAUCUAUAGAAACCAUGAGAUAAUAAAAAAUUGCGGUCAUUUGUUGUGCAGCAAGAGAGAACUAAUAGAAGGGAUCAACCUUCCAUUAGGUACUAGUGGGCAAUAGGACAGUAAUGGGGAGACUGAGAGACUGGGACUUAGUGUGAAUGGUGAGAAUUUUCUUAUAAUGGAGCUGUGCUGGCCAUUAGAAAGUUAGUUCCUGUCUUUGUUGUAAAUUGUACUUAUUUUGUACUUGGAGUAUCAUCUUUAUUUUUUUAUUUUUUUUUUGUUUUGGUUUUUCUCCAGUACCGGGAACCGAACU